GAUGAACGCUGGCGGCGUGCUUAACACAUGCAAGUCGAGCGAAGCAGUUAAGUUGAUUUCUUCGGAUUGAUUCUUAAUUGACUGAGCGGCGGACGGGUGAGUAACGCGUGGGUGACCUGCCCCAUACCGGGGGAUAACAGCUGGAAACGGCUGCUAAUACCGCAUAAGCGCACAGAGCUGCAUGGCUCAGUGUGAAAAACUCCGGUGGUAUGGGAUGGGCCCGCGUCUGAUUAGGCAGUUGGCGGGGUAACGGCCCACCAAACCGACGAUCAGUAGCCGGCCUGAGAGGGCGACCGGCCACAUUGGGACUGAGACACGGCCCAAACUCCUACGGGAGGCAGCAGUGGGGAAUAUUGCACAAUGGGGGAAACCCUGAUGCAGCGACGCCGCGUGAGCGAAGAAGUAUUUCGGUAUGUAAAGCUCUAUCAGCAGGGAAG
rnacentral:rRNA from 1 species